rnacentral:rRNA from 1 species
CGUAACAAGGUUUCCGUAGGUGAACCUGCGGAAGGAUCAUUACCUAGAGUUUGUAGACUUCGGUCUGCUACCUCUUACCCAUGUCUUUUGAGUACCUUCGUUUCCUCGGCGGGUCCGCCCGCCGAUUGGACAACAUUCAAACCCUUUGCAGUUGCAAUCAGCGUCUGAAAAAACAUAAUAGUUACAACUUUCAACAACGGAUCACUUGGUUCUGGCAUCGAUGAAGAACGCAGCGAAAUGCGAUAAGUAGUGUGAAUUGCAGAAUUCAGUGAAUCAUCGAAUCUUUGAACGCACAUUGCGCCCCUUGGUAUUCCAUGGGGCAUGCCUGUUCGAGCGUCAUUCGUACCUUCAAGCUCUGCUUGGUGUUGGGUGUUUGUCUCGCCUCUGCGUGUAGACUCGCCUUAAAACAAUUGGCAGCCGGCGUAUUGAUUUCGGAGCGCAGUACAUCUCGCGCUUUGCACUCAUAACGACGACGUCCAAAAGUACAUUUUUACACUCUUGACCUCGGAUCAGGUAGGGAUACCCGCUGAACUUAAGCAUAUCA